ACUCUUUGGACACUCGUGAACAGGUGGUGCAUGGUUGUCGUCAGCUCGUGUCGUGAGAUGUUGGGUUAAGUCCCGCAACGAGCGCAACCCUCGUUCUAUGUUGCCAGCACGUAAUGGUGGGAACUCAUGGGAUACUGCCGGGGUCAACUCGGAGGAAGGUGGGGAUGACGUCAAAUCAUCAUGCCCCUUAUGUCUUGGGCUUCACGCAUGCUACAAUGGCCGGUACAAAGGGCUGCAAUACCGUGAGGUGGAGCGAAUCCCAAAAAGCCGGUCCCAGUUCGGAUUGAGGUCUGCAACUCGACCUCAUGAAGUCGGAGUCGCUAGUAAUCGCAGAUCAGCAACGCUGCGGUGAAUACGUUCCCGGGUCUUG
rnacentral:rRNA from 1 species